rnacentral:rRNA from 1 species
GAGAGGAUGNAGCACCCNCCACUGGGGANUGAGGACCACGGCCCAGACUCCUACGGGAGGCAGCAGUGGGGANUUUUCCCGCAAUGGGCGCAAGCCCUGACGGAGCAAUCCCGCGUGAGGGAGGAAGGCUUUUGGGUUGUAANCCUCUUUUCUCAAGGAAGAACACAAUGACGGUNCUUGAGGAAUCAGCAUCGGCUAACUCCGUGCCAGCAGCCGCGGUAAUACGGAGGAUGCAAGCGUUAUCCGGAAUUAUUGGGCGUAAAGCGUCCGCAGGUGGUGUUUCAANUCUGCUGUCAAAGNCCGAAGCUUAACUUCGGGUAGGCGNUGGAAACUGACUCACUAGAGUACGGUAGGGGUAGAGGGAAUUUCCAGUGUAGCGGUGAAAUGCGUAGAGAUUGGAAAGAACACCAGUGGCGAAGGCGCUCUACUGGACCGUAACUGACACUCAGGGACGAAAGCUAGGGUAGCGAAAGGGAUUAGAUACCCCUGUAGUCCUAGCCGU